UGGGGAAUAUUGCACAAUGGGCGCAAGCCUGAUGCAGCCAUGCCGCGUGUAUGAAGAAGGCCUUCGGGUUGUAAAGUACUUUCAGCGGGGAGGAAGGCGAUAAGGUUAAUAACCUUGUCGAUUGACGUUACCCGCAGAAGAAGCACCGGCUAACUCCGUGCCAGCAGCCGCGGUAAUACGGAGGGGGCAAGCGUUAAGCGGAAUUACUGGGCGUAAAGCGCACGCAGGCGGUCUGUCAAGUCGGAUGUGAAAUCCCCGGGCUCAACCUGGGAACUGCAUUCGAAACUGGCAGGCUAGAGUCUUGUAGAGGGGGGUAGAAUUCCAGGUGUAGCGGUGAAAUGCGUAGAGAUCUGGAGGAAUACCGGUGGCGAAGGCGGCCCCCUGGACAAAGACUGACGCUCAGGUGCGAAAGUGUGGGGAGCAAACA
rnacentral:rRNA from 1 species